rnacentral:rRNA from 1 species
ACCGGCGCACGGGUGAGUAACGCGUAUGCAACCUGCCCGCAGUCCCGGGAUAGCCUCCCGAAAGGAGAUUAAGACCGGAUGGAGCCGGCCCGCCGCAUGGCCAAAAUACGAGGGGACGGCGGAUGGGCAUGCGUUCCAUUAGGUAGUAGGCGGGGCAACGGCCCACCUAGCCUGCGAUGGAUAGGGGUCCUGAGAGGGAGGUCCCCCACACUGGUACUGAGACACGGACCAGACUCCUACGGGAGGCUGCAGUGAGGAAUAUUGGUCAAUGGGCGGAAGCCUGAACCAGCCAUGUCGCGUGCAGGACUACGGCCCUACGGGUCUUAAACUGCUUUUAUGCGGGGAUAAAGUCGGCCACGAGUGGCCGAUUGCAGGUACCGCAUGAAUAAGGAUCGGCGAACGCCGUGCCAGCAGCCGCGGUAAUACGGAGGAUCCGAGCGUUAUCCGGAUUUAUUGGGUUUAAAGGGUGCGUAGGCGGCCUGUCAAGUCGGCGGUGAAACCCCCGGGCGCAACCCGGGGACGGCCGUCGAAACUGGCGGGCGAGAGUACGUUGGGAGUGCGCGGAAUAUGUGGUGUAGCGGUGAAAUGCAUAGAUAGCACACAGAACACCGAUCGCGUAGGCAGCGCACUACGCCGCAACUGCCGCUGAGGCACGCAGGCGCGGGGCUCGAACAGGAUUAGAUACCCUGGUAGUCCGCGCAGUAAACGAUGGAUGCUCGCCGUCCGCAAUAUACAGCGGGUGGCCAAGCGAAAGCGAUAAGCAUCCCACCUGGGGAGUACGCCGGCAACGGUGAAACUCAAAGGAAUUGACGGGGGCCCGCACAAGCGGAGGAACAUGUGGUUUAAUUCGAUGAUACGCGAGGAACCUUACCCGGGCUUGAAAUGUGGAGGAACGGCGGGGAAACCCGCCGGCCAGCAAUGGCCUCCAUGUAAAAAAUGCAUGGAUUGUACAUUCAUCUCGUGCCGUGAGGUGUCGGCUUAAGUGCCAUAACGAGCGCAACCCCUGCCCGCAGUUGCCAGCAUUCAGUUGGGGACUCUGCGGGGACUGCCACCGCAAGGUGCGAGGAAGGCGGGGAUGACGUCAAAUCAGCACGGGCCUUACGUCCGGGGCGACACACGUGUUACAAUGGGCGGUACAGAGGGAAGCGAGGCGCGACGCCGAGUUGAUCCCCCAAAAGCCGCUCUCAGUUCGGAUCGGAGUCUGCAACUCGACUCCGUGAAGCUGGAUUCGCUAGUAAUCGCGCAUCAGCCAUGGCGCGGUGAAUACGUCCCGCGCC